UUUGCUUGGUGAUUGUUUCCUAUGGGAGUUUCCAGUGAGUCCUGAUCCUUGGAAAGGGGACUGUGCUGAGGAGAGAAGAUAAAUGUGCAAAUCUGUCAAGCUCCACUUGCUCUUAGAUACGCUAGAGAUUAUCAUUACCAACUUGAAGACCUGCGGAGGACUUUGUCAGUGUUUUUGAAGGACUUCAAUGAUUCAGGUGAAAGCUACUUUACCAAACCAAACGUGAUAGUGGAUGAGUCUACAAGAUCUGAUUUUCAUCACCUAGUGUACAAAUGAUGAGUGUUGGCAUGUGGUUGUAUUAAUUACAGAAGUUGCUGAAAGAAAUUUCAUAUCC
rnacentral:lncRNA from 1 species